rnacentral:rRNA from 1 species
GCGAACGCUGGCGGCAGGCUUAACACAUGCAAGUCGAGCGGGCAUCUUCGGAUGUCAGCGGCAGACGGGUGAGUAACACGUGGGAACGUACCCUUCGGUUCGGAACAACUCUGGGAAACUGGGGCUAAUACCGGAUACGCCCUUAUGGGGAAAGGUUUACUGCCGAAGGAUCGGCCCGCGUCUGAUUAGCUAGUUGGUGGGGUAACGGCCUACCAAGGCGACGAUCAGUAGCUGGUCUGAGAGGAUGAUCAGCCACACUGGGACUGAGACACGGCCCAGACUCCUACGGGAGGCAGCAGUGGGGAAUAUUGGACAAUGGGCGCAAGCCUGAUCCAGCCAUGCCGCGUGAGUGAUGAAGGCCUUAGGGUUGUAAAGCUCUUUUGUCCGGGACGAUAAUGACGGUACCGGAAGAAUAAGCCCCGGCUAACUUCGUG